UUGAAAGGGAAACGAUUGAAGUCAGUCAUGCUGGUGGGAAUCAACUUAGGGGAAACUCUAGGUGCACUUCUUCGCUUGGCAGGUUAACGUCGAUCUUGAAUGCCAUAAAAUAAUUGGAGGAAUGUAGCUUCGAUCUUGUAUUGAAGUGUUAUAGCCUUUGGUAAAUGUGAUGAUUAGGAUCGAGGAUUGCAACGAAUACCCUUUUGGGCUAUCCGCCUGAUCUCUGAUACGUGGCCUUGGUAUCGAAAGCUUGCUUAUGGUAUGAAGGUAUUACGGUCAAAAGGUUAGAACGGAUUACAUUCGUUAAGGAUGUUGACGUA
rnacentral:rRNA from 1 species